UGCAGCCGGAGUUACAGAAGGGGAGAGGAGCAGAAAGAAGCGUCUGAACUGGCAAAUUCUCCUGGCAGCGCCAAGAACAAGAGCUGUGAUGUGUUGUCGUAAGGGUGUGGUGAUGCUCAGCAGAUGCCCCAUCCAGUGGGAAGCACCCCCUCCAUGGGGCAGGCAGUGUGGGUUAUCUGGCGUUGGGUCAAGAACCCAGAGUGGAAUUGCUGUUGCAGAUUAUCCCAGACGAGUUUACCUGCUGUGGAUUACCUGGGUGGAGCCCCUGGUGAAGGUUUCUUAUAGGCACCCUUUACGUACUGUGAAGUCUGCUAUAAGCUCUCCUGCAAAGCUGCAUGCCAAUGAGCGGUGCGAGAAGGUGAGGCGGUUGUCGGCCGGGUCAGUGUUGAAUAGCAAAGUAUUAUGCGGCUGCUUGGUUAAGCAUUUACCUUCUGUUUUGGAGGUGCUGUGUGGGCUAUCUUUGAAUUGGAUGAGCGUUUGAGGAAAGCUGUGGAUUAGUGAGGAGGAGCGUGGGGCCGAUGACUUCUCAUGAGCGCCAUGCUAAUUUGGUGUGUCUUGGUACCUUAGGUACCACGAGUGAUGAUGGCUGCAGGGUCUGACUCUGGAAUGAGCGGGGAAGUGAACACGGUGGCACUUGUGAGGAGGGGGGAG